rnacentral:lncRNA from 1 species
CAAUACAAAGCAUAUUAAGUAGUCUUCUUCUAUAUCUAAGCUCUCUUAGUCAAUAUUUUUCUUCACAUUUUUAGCUUCCUCUUCUUAGUUGAAUCUUUCGAUUUUAGUUAACAAUCUUAGGCUAGCAGAAGAUUUCCUAAAUAUACCUUUCUUUUUCUAUUCUCUACAGGAUGAAGGAGUUGACGGAAUAGCUGCAAAAGCUAAGGAAGGAGAACAAAAUCAUGGAGAUGAUAAUCAAGAUGAAUGAAGUGUUGAAGGGUGUAAAGAUAUAAUCGUUGAUAUGCACGCUGACGAUAGUUAACACUCAAACAAUGGUAUAAAGAGAUAAAAGAGAGGGCUGACAAAUAGGGUUUGACAUCGGAUGCCCCUCAAUCCUUUGCCCUAUAUUGUAAUUUACUAAUGUUCUUAAUCAAUAACGAACUCCAUAUUAAAAAAUUAUAGGUUAAUUAAGGGCAAAAUACAUAGAUAGACCUUUGAAUUUUUUUAAUUUUAUCGCAUUGGCACCUCAAUUAGGCCAUGUAUCUAUUGAACACCUCAACUAUAUUCAAACUAUGUCAAUUGAGCACAAAUUGCGCAAUUUUAAAUUUGAUUCAGAGCGUGAAAUGCACUUUACCAUGACAUGAAAAUUAUAACCAAUGAUAAAAUUUCAAGUCAUCAAAGAAGAAAAAAAAUCAAAAUAAAAAUUAAGAAAAAAAAAAUAUUUUUUGCUUAUUCUUCUUUUUCCUCUAAACUUUUUCUUUCCAGCAUUGAAGCACCACUAACUAAUAGCAUAUACUCAAUUUCUUCUUUCUCUUUCUUCUUCCAUUAUCAUUUUACAUCCAUUCUAAUUUAAUUUUAUUUUUUGCUUCUUUUAAUUUUUCUCUCAUUUUUCAAACACAAUUGUUAGUGAGAAGAAAAAAGAAGACCUCAUUUUCACUCCUUCAUUUUUUCACCAAAACAACACCCAAUAAUCAUUAAA